AAGAAAGUUGUGAUACAUCCACAUUUAGGGAUUUUAAAAUGAACCCAAUCUCAUCAUUUUGGAGCUUUUAAUCAGAGAGGGGGAGGAACUAGUAUUCAACAAGCACCUUACUAAGAUUUGGUGAGUAGCCAGGCACGUGCUAGGACCUAGUGUGUAUUUUCUUGUUUAAUUCUAAUAAAUUUGGGGGGGGGGCGGGAUUAUUAUCCCCACUUUACAGAUGAAUAAACUGAGGCUCAGAGAAGUGAAUUACGUUCAUGUCAAAAGGAAGAUGGAGCAGGGAUUUGAACCCAGGUCUGUAGACUCCAAAGGGUAUCAUGGGAUAACAGGUAAAUGUGCUUUUCUAUUUUCCAGACUUUUCAUAAGGUUAUGUGGCUUUACAAUAAAAGGUUACCGACUUCUCUCUUACUACUCCUUGUUGUAAAAGGGUUGCUCCCAAGUGGAUUCAGAGGUGUUUAAAAUCCCUUGCCUGCCUCUUCUUCAGGAGAGUCAUCAUCCUCCCUAAUGACCCCUGCUUGGUUUCUUUAUUCAGUGGAUUCGUUUCCUGAGGCUGCUGUGACAAAGUACCACGAACUGAGUGGCUUCAGACAACAGACACUUGUUCUGGAGGUAAGUGCUCCAAAGUCGAGAUGUCGGCAGGGUCAUGCUCCUGCUGAAGGUUCUGGGGGAGAAUCCUUCCUUUCCUCUCCCAGCUUCUGGUGGCCCCCAGCAUCCCUUGGCUUGUAACUACAUCACCCCAGUCUCUGUCUCCAUCUUCAUGUGGACUUGCUUCCUGUGUCUCUGUGUGUCCCCUCCUCUUCUUACCAGGACACCAGCCACUGGAUUUAGGGCCGACCCUAAAUCCAAGAUGAUUUCAUCUCGAGAUGAAAGGAACUAAUGAUAUCUGCAAAGACCCUAUUUCCAAAUAAAGUCACAUUCACAGGGGGUUAGUCUUUGAACAUAUCUUUCGGGGAACACAGUUCAACAGACUACAUUCAGUAAGACUGUCUCAGAGGGGGCGGAGAGAAGCUGGGGCCCUGGUGCUCGCUGGUGGCCCUGUAGCCUUCGCUGCCCCAUGCUGUCACGCCCAGACCUCGGGCUGGGGCUGCGCCUCACUCUCCCCUCUCCUCUGUCCGGCAGGCGGGGGGAGGGCAAGCUAGUGUUGCCGCUUAGCAGCAGAAAAUCACAAAGUCACCAUUCCUAAUAAACCCCAUUGCUUCUCCCUCCUUCCUUCUCCCAGCAAUUUCCCCAGUGGUGUCUGUGGUGAAACAAGGCGACCGGGAGAAAUGGGGGGAGGGGAGUCUGGAUUAGAAAAGAGCCUGACGAGAACAUAUCCUUUUAUGAUGGGGGCGGUUCUGCCAGUUUUUGCUGGGCCUCCCCUGUUCCCCCUGCCGCCCCACCCCACCCUAGGAACAGCCUUGACUGUCCUGUGGGGACUCCUGCCCUCUCCAGGUCAGUCAAUCGGGCAGGGCUGUCCCCACCGCAGCUGGCUUCUUUCAGUUCCCUGCCCUCUGCCUCUUCCCCCAGGGCCAGUCCCCCCAACCCCACCCCGGGCAGAGCAGAUCAACAGAUCUUUGCUUUUCUGCAGCCUUGCCUGGCCCUCCCUCCCGAUUUAGCUGACCGGCCAGGGGCAGGCUGGAGCAGCCCACACCGGCCUGCCCACCGGCCCGAAGCAGGAUGCAUUCAGGUGAAAAGGGCGAGGAUGGCCCUACCGCAGUAAAAACCAACAAACCCAGUUCCCUGGCUGUGUGUGGCUCUGUGCUUUAUUUGUUUGCAGGUCAGAAGGGUGAGGAAGGUUGCAGGUGAGCCUGAGGGUGUAGACCCCUUUGGGGGAGAGGGACUGAGGGGUGGGAGGGCGGGUGUGAUGAGCUUUGUCUUUAUAGAUCUUUGAUUAUUACACUUUCUGAGCUCUGAUUUCACUCUGUCCCCCAGCAUCCUCACUGGGUCCUUGUUUCUGCCCUGCUCUGUUCUUCCUCCUUCCUCACCCUUGGGAUUUCAGAGCUUCCAUCCUGAGCCCUGGUCCAAGGUCCACUGCCACCACCCACAACCUUGCCUACCAGGCCCCUGGCUCCCUGCCCUGACGCCCGCAGCUCCCAAUCAGGGUACCCCUGGCUUUUCUGUUGCUGGAUCAACCUAUGAGCAUCCUUGACAGUAACUCAUGAACUUGCCACAGCUUCUCCGAUGCCUGGCUCCCUUCUCUGAAAAGUUGGGGAGCUGCUACCUUACAGGGGUCUGUGCACAAGGGGAAAAAAAUGGUUGAAAAAGUGCUUUGUAAAACUGGGAUUUGCUGUCAAAUGAGAAAGCUUAUUACUAAAGAUGUGAGAUGCAGAUGCAGAACACUUAACCAGCACUGAAACAAUCUUUUUUUUUUUUUUUUUUUUUUUUUUUUUUACUGUCACGAAGGCUGAGCAGAGGGGCCGUGGAAUCCAGGAUGUCAGGACGGAGAUGCCACCUUGUUGUAUGCUACCCCAACGCCCCUCCCGCCCCACCCCUCCCCUCCCAGCUGACCUGGGGGUGGGGCGGGACAGAGGAUCCCCACCCGGGUGCAACACGUACAGUUCUGCAAGAUUCAGAAUAGCCUCAAAUCACCACAUUUUCGGAAAACGGAUGAAAAGCUGAUCAAACAGACGUUUGGUGCCAGGAUGAAGGGGAGCUGGGUCCUGCACGAUCGAGUUGGAGGCAAAGUGCGGGCUGGAGUUCUCUACAGCUGGAGGAGGAGCCGUCAGUCAUCCGUCAGGCGGCUGGCGCUGGACUGGCCCUGGGUUAUGUGGCUCCCAGUUACCUCCACGUGGAGGCCAGUUCUUGGGCUGUUGAGGGUCCAGAUGGCUUCCAGGAAUUCUCCCACCGAUGAAUGAAGAAGAGGACAUCCGAUGAACACGAUGGAAUAAGGUUUAAAUCUCCUGGUGAUUUGACAUGAAAUAUUGACAUCAAUGAACAUAACUCACAAUAGGUCCCUGCAGAGAGGACAGCACAGCCACACUGGGUAAGGAGGGUCGUCCAUCCAAGGAGCAGGGGAGUCCCCGCAUGAGGAAACUGGACAUGCCCUGAAUUCUUCCUGCUCAUCUCUGAAGGAAACUUGGUCGAAGUUUAGAUUCUCUCGAUAGAAUAUGACGUUCCAGAAUCCUUGUCCAACAAAGAGGGGGAUCGCGUCCCUCCUGGGGGGCUGUGACAUCACGUGUGUGAAGUGCCUGCAGGCCUCCUGCGUCCGUAACCGAUGCCAGUUCUUAGCCCCUUCCCUCCGUCUUUUCCUGGCGCAUGUCUCACAAAGACGGUUUCAGUUCCUCCCAUGGGCCCCGCUAAGAGGAACCUGCUCCCCUCCGAGCCGCCGGCCCACCUCUUGUAAAGAGACCUACUCGAGAGAGGCUCAAAGGCUGAGGCAAAACAGCUACUUUCAAUCAACAUCUCGUUCUUUGCCAAGCACUCUCACCUGUGUUACCACAACUGUUCCUCAUCCAAUCCGUGCAAGGUGGGUAUUUCACCCCCAUACUGUAGGCCCCCAGCACAUGCCUGGUCCUGCCGGCCCUGUCCACCCCCUGCCCCCUGCGACUUUAUCAUGUGACCUCUCAAGUCCUGCUCUGACCUUGCUGAGUAGUGGCCUCUGGGCAGCCCAAGACCCCAGAGAGGGAAGAAGUGACCUGGAGAGGAAGACAUCACAGGCCAAAAUCGGAGCAGCUUGAACUGAGAAGGGACUUUGGAGAUGGGCCAGGUCAGCAUUCCAGGCCAGGCCAGUUCAGAGGGCGUUCUCGGGGGCCCCUCCAACUGGUGGGCUCCUCUGGUGCUGGCGUCUAUACCGAGGAAGGAAGUGACUUCCUGCAGGGGGGAAAGGGAGGAGAAUGGAAACGCAGAGAAGACACAGAAGAUCCUGAGCGUCGGAGCCAAGCGCGGCUCCAGGGGACUCAACUCACUCGAUCACUCACCCUCACUCACUUGGGGCAGUUGGAAAUCCUGUCUGGGGGUUCUGUUUUCCUCCCUAGACAGGGAGCACCUUAAGGGCAAAAGUAAGAUUUAUGUUUUAUACUCCCACUGCCUGGCAUACAGUAGGCACUUAAUAUGUGUAUGGAGGCCAGCAAUUGUGGUCCAGUUUGGAAAGCUUUAGUCUUUGUGUGGACAAGGCACCUUAGGACUUUAGGGGAUGUGUGUGCUUCCCCAUUUCCUCUUCCUUCACAGCUGCCACCUCCUCCAUGAAGUCCUCCUGGGUAGCCCCUCCUCCCUCCACCCCAAGUAGUUCACUUCUUCCCCUGCCUCCCUCUUUGCUCUGUACACACUUCUGCCAUUGAGGUGGGCUGGAGCAGUGGUUAGGAGCAGAGGCUGGGUCAUUUCCCCUGGACACAUUUCUUAGCUGUGUGACCUUGAGCAAAUUUUAUUUUAACCUCCUUGUGCCUCAGUGUCCUUAUCUGUAAAAUGGUAGUGAUUAUAGUACCUGCCUCAUAGAAUUGCAGUGAGGAUUAAAUUGAUGUGUAGAUUAAAAUCAUUUUGGAUGGU